UACUCAACCUGCUCCACUACUCAACCUGCUCCACUACUCAACCUGCUCCACUACUCAACCUGCUCCACUACUCAACCUGCUCCACGACUCAACCUGCUCCACUACUCAACCUGCUCCACUACUCAACCUGCUCCACUACUCAACCUGCUCCACUACUCAACCUGCACCACUACUCAACCUGCUCCACUACUCAACCUGCUCCACGACUCAACCUGCUCCACUACUCAACCUUCUCCACUACUCAACCUGCUCCACUACUCAACCUGCUCCACUACUCAACCUGCUCCACUACUCAACCUGCUCCACUACUCAACCUGCUCCACUACUCAACCUGCUCCACUACUCAACCUGCUCCACGACUCAACCUGCUCCACUACUCAACCUGCUCCACUACUCAACCUGCUCCACUACUCAACCUGCUCCACUACUCAACCUGCUCCACGACUCAACCUGCUCCACUACUCAACCUGCUCCACGACUCAACCUGCUCCACUACUCAACCUGCUCCACUACAGCCUCGUCGAUGAGAUACACAACAACUCCACCCAUCUGAUUUUCAUGACAAAUACCAGACAAAUAACAGAUAUAUUGUCCAUGCUACACAAAUGACAAAUGCUACACAAAUAUAAACAUACACGAUCUCCUUGCUAAUCACUUACAAGGUAAAUAGCACACAAAAUAUGUCAUUACUUCUAUAAAUGCUUAAACAUAGCGUAUGCCAGACUCAUAGCAAAGUGAGUCAGAGAGAACUGAGAAAGUCUCUCGUUGUAAGUACAUCACAGAAUAAGCUGAGUUUGAGGGAAACUGAGGACACAGAGAGAGUUGUAUCAUCGUUGUGGAUGGAGGGAGUUUCCUCCACCUGUUCAAGCACAUCAACCUUUACAUGGUUCAUUCUGUCUGGAAGGUGGAAGUCUCUGCUCUGUUCAUGUCUUGUGUUAAAGCUAACUGUUCCAAAGAGAGGUGCCGUUCUGCUUGGUGAUUGACUGUGUGUGUUUCUAGAAAGAGGUGCCGUUCUGCUUGGUGAUUGACUGUGUGUGUUUCUAGAAAGAGGUGCCGUUCUGCUUGGUGAUUGACUGUGUGUGUUCUUCUAGAAAGAGGUGCCGUUCUGCUUGGUGAUUGACUGUGUGUGUUCUUCUAGAGAGAGGUGCCGUUCUGCUUGGUGAUUGACUGUGUGUGUUCUUCUAGAAAGAGGUGCCGUUCUGCUUGGUGAUUGACUGUGUGUGUUCUUCUAGAAAGAGGUGCCGUUCUGCUUGGUGAUUGACUGUGUGUUUUUCUAGAGAGAGGUGCCGUUCUGCUUGGUGAUUGACUGUGUGUGUUUCUAGAAAGAGGUGCCGUUCUGCUUGGUGAUUGACUGUGUGUGUUUCUAGAAAGAGGUGCCGUUCUGCUUGGUGAUUGACUGUGUGUGUUUCUAGAAAGAGGUGCCGUUCUGCUUGGUGAUUGACUGUGUGUGUUUCUAGAAAGAGGUGCCGUUCUGCUUGGUGAUUGACUGUGUGUGUUUCUAGAAAGAGGUGCCGUUCUGCUUGGUGAUUGACUGUGUGUGUUUCUAGAAAGAGGUGCCGUUCUGCUUGGUGAUUGACUGUGUGUGUUUCUAGAAAGAGGUGCCGUUCUGCUUGGUGAUUGACUGUGUGUGUUUCUAGAAAGAGGUGCCGUUCUCCUUGGUGAUUGACUGUGUGUAUU